UACGUAGGGUGCAAGCGUUUGUCCGGAAUUAUUGGGCGUAAAGAGCUCGUAGGCGGUCUGUCGCGUCGGCUGUGAAAACUCGGGGCUCAACCCCGAGCCUGCAGUCGAUACGGGCAGACUAGAGUGCGGUAGGGGAGACUGGAAUUCCUGGUGUAGCGGUGAAAUGCGCAGAUAUCAGGAGGAACACCGAUGGCGAAGGCAGGUCUCUGGGCAUUAACUGACGCUGAGGAGCGAAAGCAUGGGGAGCGAACAGG
rnacentral:rRNA from 1 species